GGUAGUAACACGUGGGUGAUCUGCCCUGCACUCUGGGAUAAGCCUGGGAAACUGGGUCUAAUACCGGAUAGGACCAUGCUUUAGUGUGUGUGGUGGAAAGUUUUUUCGGUGUAGGAUGAGCCCGCGGCCUAUCAGCUUGUUGGUGGGGUAAUGGCCUACCAAGGCGGCGACGGGUAGCCGGACUGAGAGGUUGGUCGGCCACAUUGGGACUGAGAUACGGCCCAG
rnacentral:rRNA from 1 species